AAAGUGAACUGUGAAAAAGUUUAGUACGUUGAGGAAGACUUCAAUUCCUUGAAGAAACAUGUUUCUUCUUCUGCUCCUAACACCAACAAAGUAAUGCUUGUAACAAAUCCUAUUCUACAUUCAAGGACCAAGCACUUUGAACUGGAUCUUUAUUUCAUAAGGGAGAAAAUUCAGAAUCAUAAUCUUUUUGUUCAACGCAUUCCAUCUUUUGACCAGACAGCAGAUAUUUUAACCAAACCUAUUUCAGCUACCACACAUUCUUUAGAUGUCGUGCCAAACUCAGAGUCCAAUGUCUCUCCUUUUAGUUUGCAAGGCGACAAGGAUCAAAUUAGUUAAGUUGUUAGCUAUGUUACUUAUAGUCAAAGUAAUUAACUAUUGGUUAUGUCAGUUAGUUACUAUUAAGACUGUUAGUUAAUGAUCAACUACUUUGAUCAUCUCAGCUAUGUGUAUAUUUCGUAAACCUCCUUCACUUGUAACAAAUAAUUCAAUAAUAAAGAGGUAUUUCAGUAAAUUUCUAUUUCUCUCCAUAAUGAUAAAGAAAAAAUAUUAUCAACUAACUACUUAGCUAAUAAGAAGUUCAUUACACGAUGGACACAAGAUAUAACAAAUACUAACAAAGAAAACUCAGCUUCCUAUAAUAAUAAUAAUAUGCCAUUUCAAAUGCUUCAUUACUCAAACCAAACCUUUUAGAAAUGAUAUGCCAUUUUUUCUCCUUUUUUAUUCAGUUGGAUGGUUGCAUAUAUACUCUGACAGAAGGAGGCCUCACCAAUCACUAUUUGCAAGAAUAUGAGAAAACAAUUCCAAUGAAGGAUUAACAUAUGACAUAUGCUUUUUCAUUUACUGAAUAGAGAGGACUGGAAUUUGGAACUCUUCAUGGGAACAACAUGGCCUAUUAUGCUAUCACCUCAUUGUAAAAUUACCGAAGAAAAUAACUCUGGUUGGUUCUUCUA